CCGUAACACUACCCUAGACGACGAGCACUGUGAAAACCUACAGGAGGAGUGCAAAGAGGAGAAUGGCUGUUUCUGCGACGACACACAAGCAAAGGCCAUUAGAACAGAAUAUUAUAAUAUAACAAUAGAUGGAAAGAACUCUGAGGACAUCGAGAGCAAGUGCAAAAUGGAGGACGGCUGUUUUUUCGACGACAAAAAAACUGAAUUCGUAAUAACAGUGGGGAAAACGUGCCAAGAAAUCGAAGAGAAGUGCAACGUACAGAAUGGCUGUUUCUGCGAUGUCAAACAAGGAAAACUGGCUGUAAAACUGGCGAAAUCCUGUGAGGACAUAAAGGACAAGUGCAAGAAGGUGGAUGGCUGUUUCUGCAAUGACAAACCAAGAAAACUCGUUG